UCAUGGUUUCUGGAAGGGAGAUUGCAAAUCCUCACAUCUUCACCCAGAGAGCACAGUGAAGUGGGCCGACUUGAGGAUGCCUAGGAAACAGGUAUGUUGGGGUGUAUUCUGGUAACUCCAGGGCAGCAGCUGCCUUGUGGCACGGCUGUUGUCCUGGGGAGUCGAGUUUCCUGUCCUGUGUGAGGAGCAGUUUCACCAGCACUCUGGCUGACGAUCGUAAUGCCCUCCUUCACAAAAUCAAGGUGGGCUGGAAAGGCGGUAUCUGUCCUCAAGCUCAAACUCAGUGGGGGAGCUGAAGAGGGCACAGCGGGAUAGAUGGUCUGCAGUGUCCCCAGCAGAACGCUGACUAGGAAGCAACUGUACUCAAGAUUCCUCAUGAGCUCUCCUGGAGAAGACAAACCAAACAGACUUCCCCCCACUGAGCUCUGCUGGACCAAGGGAAGCCACUUAUCUAAGCCCCUAGAAGGAGCUGGCCAGCUUAGACUUGGCAGUCUGAGGCCCAGGAAGGUACAGAAAUCACAAGAGCUUAGUAGAAUAUGCAAAAUGUUUUGAUGACGCUGACAGAUGUUUGUAUGGGCUGGCCAGCUAAAGGGUCUCCAGGAAAGCCAAAUGUCAAUCAACAAACCAGAGUCUGCCCAGAGGCAUGCAGCAGAACAGACCCCAAAUAAAACAGAGAGGGGCAGGAGAGGAAGCAGCUCAGAGUAGCUGCAGCUGAGGCAGUGGCUCUUGCCUGUUAGAUGGGAGUGGAGAAGGGAGGGAAGGAAGAAAGAGUGGGAAUAUGACUCCUGGAAGCUGAGGACACUUAAAUGCCCAAGAGGGAUAGGAGUGAGACAGCAGCAACUGAGCUUUUGCAGACACGAUGCCCACAGGGAGGGCUGGUCUGAGGAGGGUGUUUUGCCAAAGUAGCAAAGGACUUAUAUCUGCCCCAGAGGUCACUGUCUGUGAGCCCCUCCCUUGUUAGUAGAGCAGGUAAGGGCACUAAGCCAUCCACAGAGAUGCUCCAGAACAGCCGGCUCAACAGGGCUAACUAUGACCCUCAGUGGGUGACGGCCCCAAGGAUUCAGUUCUCACAGGAACUUUGCUCCGCUAACACUGGCUCCAGCCCCAGGCCUCUCACCCUCCCCAGAAAUCAAACCUCUGUAUCCCUUUUCCUUUCUGGAGAGGCUGUUGGCUCUCAGGGACACCCCUUUAGAAGAAAAGGAUCCCUAGGAAGAGACCACUCCCUUCGUCAGUUACCACCAUCAACGCAAGGCUUUGGAGAGGGCUCUGAACCAGAACUGCCCAAUCACAGACAAAGGACACGGGAACCGUCGCCCCUCCCCAGUUGGUGAGAUAUAAAGAGCCUAUUUUGGAAAUGAAGAUGCUCACCAUUUAAUGAAGUGGACCCUCUUGUUUCCUUGAAGAACAACAAACCCAAAAGGAGUGAAGGCCAGAAAUGCAGCAUUUCCUGACACGUCCUGCAACACAGAAAGACUUCUCAUCGGGUGAUGCAGGCACAGAGGUGAAAGGGUAAGAAACACAGCUGUUCAUAGGUGAUGCAGGGUUAAUACUUGGCAGUAGGUCACAGAGGGAAAAGCAUAUCAUCUGGAAUCACAAGACCAUAGUUUGAGUCUCAGCCUUGCCACUUGCCAGCCGCAUGACUACAGGCAAGUUACUUGCUGAGCCUCAGUGUCCUGAUCUGUAAGUUGUAGGUUAUAAUGAUACCAACCUUAGAAGGUUGCUGUGAACAUCCAAAGAGAAUGGCAACACCUCAUGCAUUGCUGAUGGGGUUGUUAAAUGGUACAGUCACUUUGAGAAAGAGUUUGAAAGUCAUUUAAAUUGUUAAAAAUAGAGUUACCAUAUGACCCAGCAAUUCCACUCCUCAGUAUGUGCUCAGAGAUUUAAAAAUGCAUGUCCACACAGAAACUGGUACAUGUAUGUUAAUAGCAGCAGUAUGUGUUAAGAGCUAAAC
rnacentral:lncRNA from 10 species